CUGUCGCCCAGGCUGGAGUGCAGUGGCGUGAUCUCGGCUCACAGCAACCUCUGCGUCCCGGGUUCAAGAAAUGACCAGAACCUGAAAUUUAUAUUUAAAGGGGAAGCAGAGUGUAAAAGUUUGAAAAAUUUGCAGCCCACCCAUGUGGUGGAAAAGAAAACCCCAUUUCCAAGGCUCAUAGGUGAAGAGACUUUUGCCUUGUCUGAGAUGAGACUUUGGACUUUGGACUUUUGAGUUAAUGCUGUAAUGAGUUAAGACUGUGAAUUAUUGGGAAGUCAUGAUUGUACUUUUGCAAUGUGAGGAGGACACGAGAUUUGGAGGGAUCAGGGGUGAAAUAAUUUGGUUUAGAUCUGUGUCCUCACCCAAAUCUCAUGUUAAAUUGUAGUCCCCAGUGUUGGAGAUGGGGACUGAUGGGAGGUAAUUAGAUCAUGAGGGCGAAAUUCUCAUCAAUGCUUUAGGACCGUCUCCUCUGUGCUAUUCUCAUGAUAGAGUUCUCAUAAGAUCUGGUUGUUUAAAAGUAUGUGGCACUUCCACACCUCCCACCACCACCACCACCACCACCACCAUUCUCCUACUCCAGCCAUGUAAGAGGCACUUGCUUCCCCUUCACCUUCCACCAUGAUUGUAAGUUUCCUGAGGACCCCCA
rnacentral:lncRNA from 1 species